rnacentral:rRNA from 1 species
AGAGUUUGAUCCUGGCUCAGGAUGAACGCUGGCGGCGUGCUUAACACAUGCAAGUCGAACGAUGAUCCCCAGCUUGCUGGGGGGAUUAGUGGCGAACGGGUGAGUAACACGUGAGUAACCUGCCCUUGACUCUGGGAUAAGCCUGGGAAACUGGGUCUAAUACCGGAUAUGACCUUCCAUCGCAUGGUGGUUGGUGGAAAGCUUUUGUGGUUUUGGAUGGACUCGCGGCCUAUCAGCUUGUUGGUGGGGUAAUGGCCUACCAAGGCGACGACGGGUAGCCGGCCUGAGAGGGUGACCGGCCACACUGGGACUGAGACACGGCCCAGACUCCUACGGGAGGCAGCAGUGGGGAAUAUUGCACAAUGGGCGCAAGCCUGAUGCAGCGACGCCGCGUGAGGGAUGACGGCCUUCGGGUUGUAAACCUCUUUCAGUAGGGAAGAAGCGUAAGUGACGGUACCUGCAGAAGAAGCGCCGGCUAACUACGUGCCAGCAGCCGCGGUAAUACGUAGGGCGCAAGCGUUAUCCGGAAUUAUUGGGCGUAAAGAGCUCGUAGGCGGUUUGUCGCGUCUGCCGUGAAAGUCCGGGGCUCAACUCCGGAUCUGCGGUGGGUACGGGCAGACUAGAGUGAUGUAGGGGAGACUGGAAUUCCUGGUGUAGCGGUGAAAUGCGCAGAUAUCAGGAGGAACACCGAUGGCGAAG